AACGAACGCUGGCGGCAGGCCUAACACAUGCAAGUCGAACGCCCUAGCAAUAGGGAGUGGCAGACGGGUGAGUAACACGUGGGAACCUUCCCUAUAGUACGGAAUAUACCAGGGAAACUUGGAGCAAUACCGUAUACGCCCGAGAGGGGAAAGAUUUAUCGCUAUAGGAUGGGCCCGCGUAGGAUUAGCUAGUUGGUGAGGUAAUGGCUCACCAAGGCGACGAUCCUUAGCUGGUUUGAGAGAACGACCAGCCACACUGGGACUGAGACACGGCCCAGACUCCUACGGGAGGCAGCAGUGGGGAAUAUUGGACAAUGGGCGCAAGCCUGAUCCAGCCAUGCCGCGUGAGUGAUGAAGGCCUUAGGGUUGUAAAGCUCUUUUGCCGGGGACGAUAAUGACGGUACCCGGAGAAUAAGUCCCGGCUAACUUCGU
rnacentral:rRNA from 1 species